rnacentral:rRNA from 1 species
AGUGAACGCUGGCGGUAGGCCUAACACAUGCAAGUCGAACGGCAGCACAGGAGAGCUUGCUCUCUGGGUGGCGAGUGGCGGACGGGUGAGGAAUACAUCGGAAUCUACUCUGUCGUGGGGGAUAACGUAGGGAAACUUACGCUAAUACCGCAUACGACCUACGGGUGAAAGCAGGGAACCUUCGGGCCUUGCGCGAUUGAAUGAGCCGAUGUCGGAUUAGCUAGUUGGCGGGGUGAAGGCCCACCAAGGCGACGAUCCGUAGCUGGUCUGAGAGGAUGAUCAGCCACACUGGAACUGGGACACGGUCCAGACUCCUACGGGAGGCAGCAGUGGGGAAUAUUGGACAAUGGGCGCAAGCCUGAUCCAGCCAUACCGCGUGGGUGAAGAAGGCCUUCGGGUUGUAAAGCCCUUUUGUUGGGAAAGAAAUCCAGCUGGCUAAUACCCGGUUGGGAUGACGGUACCCAAAGAAUAGGCACCGGCUAACUUCGUGCCAGCCGCCGCAGUAA